CUGCAAAUGGCCCUUUAAAUCAAUUAUCGUUAAUUUGAUAAAACCUUACUACUUGCAUAACCGUGCUUAUUCUAGAGCUAAUACCUGCCAAAAACCCCGACUUCUGGAGGGGUGUAUUUAUUAAAUAAAAAACCGAUGCCCUCUGGUCUCUUUGGGGAUACAUGAAAUUUUCCUUUAUAGCCUGGCCUUGCCCCGGCGACGGUUCUUUCAAAUUUCUGCCCUGCAACUUUCGAUGGUGAGGUAUUGGCUUACCGUGGUCUCAAGGGGUAACGGGGGAUUAGGGUUCGACUCCAGAGAGGGAGCCUGAAAAACGGCUACCACAUCCAAGGAAGGCAGCAGGCGCGCAAAUUACCCAAUCCCGACACGGGGAGGUAGUGACAAUAAAUACUGAUACAGGGCUCUUUUGGGUCUUGUAAUCGGAAUGAGUACAAUUUAAAUCCCUUAACGAGGAACAAUUGGAGGGCAAGUCUGGUGCCAGCAGCCGCGGUAAUUCCAGCUCCAAUAGCGUAUAUUAAAGUUGUUGCAGUUAAAAAGCUUGUAGUUGAACCUUGGGCCUGGCUGGCUGGUCCGCCUCACCGCGUGCACUGGCAUGGCCGGGCCUUUCCUCCUGGAGAGCCCCAUGCCCUUCACUGGGCGUGUGGGGGAACCAGGACUUUUACUUUGAAAAAAUUAGAGUGUUCAAAGCAGGCCUUUGCUUGAAUACAUUAGCAUGGAAUAUGAAAUAGGACGUGCGGUCCUAUUUUGUUGGUUUCUAGGACCGCCGUAAUGAUUAAUAGGGACAGUCGGGGGCAUCCGUAUUCAAUUGUCAGAGGUGAAAUUCUUGGAUUUAUUGAAGACGAACUACUGCGAAAGCAUUUGCCAAGGAUGUUUUCAUUAAUCAGUGAACGAAAGUUAGGGGAUCGAAGACGAUCAGAUUCCGUCGUAGUCUUAACCGUAAACUAUGCCGACUAGGGAUCGGGCGAUGUUAU
rnacentral:rRNA from 1 species